rnacentral:rRNA from 1 species
UACGGAGGGUGCGAGCGUUGUCCGGAAUCACUGGGCGUAAAGGGCGCGUAGGUGGCCUGUGGAAGUCUGCGGUGAAAGCCCGGCGCUCAACGCCGGGUCGGCCGUGGAUACUCUCGGGCUCGAGCUUACUAGAGGCAGAUGGAAUUCCGGGUGUAGCGGUGGAAUGCGUAGAGAUCGGGAGGAACACCAGUGGCGAAGGCGGCUCACUGGCUCGGUACUGACGCUGAGGUGCGAAAGCGUGGGAGCAAACAGG